AUUGAACGCUGGCGGCAGGCCUAACACAUGCAAGUCGAACGCGUGGCGGACGGGUGAGUCAUGUCUGGGACCCUGCCUGAUGGCGGGGGAUACCUACUGGAAACGGUAGCUACUACCGCAUACCAUCGGAUGUGCCCAGGUGGGAUUAGCUAGUAGGUUGGGUAACGGCUCACCUAGGCGACGAUCCCUAGCUGGUCUGAGAGGAUGACCAGCCACACGUGAACUGAGACACGGUCCAGACUCCUACGGGAGGCAGCAGUGGGGAAUAUUGCGCAAUGGGCGCAAGCCUGAUGCAGCCAUGCCGCGUGUAUGAAGAAGGCCUUCGGGUUGUAAAGUACUUUCAGCGGGGAGGCGUUACCCGCAGAAGAAGCGCCGGCUAACUCCGUGCCAGCAGCCGCGGUAAUUC
rnacentral:rRNA from 1 species